rnacentral:lncRNA from 1 species
UGCCUUCUAAUCCUGAUUCUGAAUCACUGUCCUAGAUUGAGUUAGGCCUCGAUAAUAACAGUAAGAAGUUCUAGCAUGGUGGAAAUGGUGAAGGACAGAAUGUUGGACUUGGACCCCAGAAAACUUGAGUUCUGAUCCUCCCUAGGACACCUAAUUUUGGUAUAACCCUGGAUAUCAUGAUUGCAACUCCUGCCUUCUUUCUAUCAGUUGAGGCCCAGAAGGUCUUACUCCAUCCUUUAAUUCUGACCUUGUGAGUGUCUACCUGCCUCAUGUGUGUUUCUUGAAGACAGCAUAUGUUCUUCCUCUGGAUGUGGAUAGCAUUCUUUCUCCCAAGUUCCUCUGGAUUGUUCUGGGUCACUGCAUUGCCACUAAUGAUUUGCUUCGCUGAAUACUGGCUUCAAGGUCUGAGCUGGAAACAGGUAUUUCCAACUGAUAAUAUCAAGAAAUUCUUCCUGAAAGAAGUAGCACUUAGUUUGGGACUCGUUAAAUGAGGAAAGAUCAUAUUCGAGGCAUUGGGAACAGUGAGAGCAAAGGCUUGAAGGUGGGAAGGCUCAAGAGGAUUUCUGAGAUGGAGAAUCAUUGCAAAUGAAAUGCAGAAUUCAGGGAAGAAGUAACUCAAGAUGAACAAAUGUUGGAUGGGACCAGGUUAUGGAAGGCCUUGAAUAUCAGGUUGAGACUUUAAACUUUAUCACAACGGGGAUGAUGGAAGAAAGCAGACUUUAUUUCAUUUCCCCAACUCUUAAACAAGGGCCAUUUCUUUCCUUAUGGCUUUAAGGUCCAAGCACUUUUAGGCUAUUUUGCAGAGUUGGAACAGUGAAUAAACAUCCUGGUUCAGAUCA